rnacentral:rRNA from 1 species
AUGAGCAGGUGCGUGUCCAUGAACACGAGAAACCUCAGCGGCAAGCUGCCGGCGGAAGAUGGCGCUCUUCCUGAGGCAAGCCAGAGCCAGCCGCCGCAGCACCAGCCAGAGCACGGCGGCGGUGGUGGCGACGGCGAGAUGGUGCAUUUCAGCCACCCGGAGCACCGGCUGGCGCGGUUCGACUUCCCGUACCUGUUCCUCUGCAUGGGCUGCAAGGAGUACGGCGCCGGCAAGCGGUUCAUGUGCCAGAUCUGCGGCUUCCAGCUGCACGAGUUGUGCGCCCUGGCUCCCCCCUCCCUCCACGACCACCCCUUCCACCCCAAGCACCAGCACCUCCUCUUCUUCGAGAAGCCAGGCGGGUUUCUCCGGUGCAAGUGCGACAUCUGCGGCAAGCCGGUCAAGGGCUUCUCGUUCCGGUGCGCGUGCUGCAGCUUCGACGUGCACCCGUGCUGCGCGGCCAUGACGCGCCGGAUGGAGCUCCCGGCGCACGGCCACCCGCUGCUGCUGGCGCCGGACGCGGGCGUGGCCACGAGCUUCGUGUGCCAGGUGUGCCGGAGGCGGCGGUCGGGGCGCGUCUACCAGUGCAUGCCGUGCGGGUACUACCUCCACGCCAAGUGCGCCAAGGACAUGGUGAACGGGCUCUACGAGCACGGCGUGGUGCCGCCGGAGAAGAGCAACCCGCUCGUCGCCGUGGCCAAGGUCACCAUCAACGCGCUCUUCAGCAUCAUCGGCGGCCUCAUCGAGGGCAUCGGCGAGGGGAUCGGGGAGGGCUUCGUGGAGAACAUCGGCAGGAGCAGAGGCAGAAGCUUCAGAUGA